AGAUUUACCGAGCAAUCAAAACAAAGUAUAACGUUACAGUUUACUACAUCUUUACUACAACUUCGUACACAAUUCACAGAGCAAUAAAUUAUAACUGUAAGUUACUACAGCUUUACUACAGCUUCGUACACAAUGGAGCCUCGCUUCAGGAGACGGGCUGAUGGCAGCCUGAAUCUUUC